GUGCUUCCUAUAUCUGCCAUGGUGAAAGUAGGAAAGCUGGUGGAGGAGCAAAAGGCGGCGAUGGAGGAAGAGAAAGAGGUGAAUGCAGAGGCGGCGGAGGAGCUGGAGGAGGCCGAGGAAGCGUCCUGCAACGGCAGCAAGAAGAAGGUAGUUCCGGGUAUUGUGUACUUGGGCCACGUCCCGCCGCGAUUCCGGCCCCUGCACGUUCGCAACCUGCUCAGCGUCUACGGUGAGGUGGGACGCGUUUUCUUCCAGGCCGAGGGUAAGCCCUACGUCGAAAGGAGAGGGUAGCGUUGCGGGCAGAGGAUACGACUUAUUUUCUUAGCUGUCCAUGUAUGAGGCGUGGGGUGCUGGCUCUGGGAAAGCUCUGGCUCCCUACUAGCUGCUAAGUAUGUAGCGCUCAUGUCCCUUAGGUGGCAGGGGCGGGGAAGGAAAAUGGAGAGGGUGAGUGGAUAGAGUAUGCUAAUAAGGUCCGAAAGAUAUCCUCGGAUUUCUUUUCUUAAAGAUUUAUUUUAUUUGUAUGGGUACACUAGCUGUUUUCAGCCACACCAGAAGAGGGCAUCAGAUCCCAUUAUAAAAUGGUUGCUGGGAAUUGAGCUCAGGACCUCUGAAAGAUCAGUCAGUGCUCUUAACCACUGAGCCAUCUCUCUAGCCCUCCUCGAUUUUUCACAUAGUCCCUGACACUGUAUAAUUAACCUCCUUCAGCCUCUUCCACCUCUUGACGUACACAAUUUGGAAAUGGAGGUAGGGACUGGAA
rnacentral:lncRNA from 1 species